CCUACGGGAGGCUGCAGUGGGGAAUUUUGGACAAUGGGCGCAAGCCUGAUCCAGCUAUUCCGCGUGUGGGAAGACGGCCUUCGGGUUGUAAACCACUUUUGUAGAGAACGUAAAGUCUAUUGAUAAUACCUAUAGAUGAUGACUGUACUCUAAGAAUAAGCACCGGCUAACUACGUCCCAGCAGCCGCGGUAAUACGUAGGGUGCGUGCGUUAAUCGGAAUUACUGGGCGUAAGGGGUGUGCAGGCGGUUUUGCAAGAUUGAUGUGAAAGCCCCGGGCUUAACCUGGGAAAGCCAUACAUGACUGCAAGACUAGAGUGCGUCAGAGGGGGGUGGAAUUCCAAGUGUAGCAGUGAAAUGCGUAGAUAUUUGGAAGAACACCGAUGGCGAAGGCAGCCCCCUGGGACGCAACUGACGCUCAUACACGAAAGCGUGGGGAGCAAACAGGAUUAGAUACCCGAGUAGUC
rnacentral:rRNA from 1 species